UUAUACCUAUAUCCCAUCAGAGACAUUCUCGACAACAGAAUGCUCUGGAGUUGGUCACAUUCAAUGAUGAUGUACCCUUACAUCUCACCUGUAUGCCAUACCAGUGUCUCCACACUCUUUGGUUAAGAGGACAACCAACCCAUAUGGCCUACAGCGACCUAUGCUCGAUAGAAGCUGUCGUCCUUAUUAACAGCCUAUCAUUUGGUCGUGAACAGUUUUAAGGACUAAUCGAUAAAUCCUCUCUUUAUCGAAUCUAAAUAGUCCUAAGGACUUUAUCAUAACAACGGAGUUCAUUAGAAGAUGAAAGCUUAUGAUGAAAAUGCCAAAUAUAUUUUAUUUAUUAACAAAUCAAUUACAAUACUUGGUUGCUCAACCGUCAACAGCUUGAUGAUUGGCUUUUUGGGACACAUUUCCCAAC
rnacentral:lncRNA from 1 species